CAAUAGCGUAUAUUAAAGUUGUUGCAGUUAAAAAGCUCGUAGUUGGAUUUCUGGGAGGGUGCCAAUGUCCGUCGUCGUACGUGUUGCAGCGGCGCCCUUCCAUCCUUCUGUUAACGACUUUGGGCAUUCACUUGCCGGAGUCGGGCUCAGAUAUUUUACCUUGAGAAAAUUAGAGUGUUUCAGGCAGGCUAGGCCGGAAUACAUUAGCAUGGAAUAAUGGAAUAGGACUUAGUCUCUUUGUUGGUUCGAGGGACUGGAGUAAUGAUUAAUAGGGAUAGUUGGGGGCAUUAGUAUUUAUUAGCUAGAGGUGGAAUUCUCUAAUUUGAUAAAGACUAACUUAUGCGAAAGCAUUUGCCAAGGAUGUUUUCAUUAAUCAAGAACGAAAGUUAGGGGAUCAAAGAUGAUCAGAUACCAU
rnacentral:rRNA from 1 species